UACAAGCUACAGGAUGAAAUAAGCCCUUUC
rnacentral:piRNA from 1 species